GAGAAAAGCUUUUUUGGUGUUCUCUUCCAGUCAAGCUAACCAUUUGUAGCAUCAUGAAUCUAUUGUUCAGCAGUCUUUUCCUGGUGGCUGGGUUGUUCCUGUGCAGCUCGGCUCAAACAGUUGAGGAAUGCAGACCUCUGAUAACACCUCUUCCAACUUUUGAACCGAGUUACGGAAAGUGGAUCUUCAUCAUGGGCUGGAUUACUAGUGAACCACAUAGAGCAUUGUUCAAGACAACCAAAAGCCAGUGGAUUGACUUCAUUAAGACAUCACCAAAUGACAAGCAAUUUGUUCAGGAUAUUGGGAUCAGGCAUCCUACAUAUUGCAAGUAUGGAUCACACCCUGUAACUGUUCAUUCCAACCUUGCAGCUACUGACAGUAAGUCACCUGAUCUGUUUUGGUUAUGGAGCUUGUCAAUGUUAGUUCUGUUAAUCAGUGAAUCUCAGUUUGUCCAAAUAAAAGGCACAACAGAGAAACCGCCUCUUUAAACCUAUAUUUAACCUAUACUUAUAUGUGAGUGGCUAUCUCAGUUUGCCGAAAUCAUU